UUCACCCUCUUGUUUUCUCCGUAAACUUUGACUAUUUUAUCCUUCAUCUUUCAUAUUUUCACCUUCUUGACUUUACCCGCAUCCUCUUUACUACCAACUAUCAACCCUCCUUUUGACAAUUUUUCUUUCUGGAUCGAGGACGUGAAACUUCAAACGUGAAACUCCGGUGAAACCAACGCAAGCGUCCUCUUCAACAUUGACAACAGAAAGCCCAGACACAGACUGCACUCCAGCCCAAGUCCAAGUGGCAGCUUGUUUUUUUUUUGUUUUUGUUUUUUUAAAUAAACACUUGCAUUACA